UUAGAGUUUGAUCCUGGCUCAGGAUGAACGCUAGCGGGAGGCUUAACACAUGCAAGUCGAGGGGCAGCACAAGUAUUUAUAUUUGGUGGCGACCGGCGGAUGGGUGAGUAACACGUAUGCAACCUACCAUUUACAGGAGGAUAGCCCGGAGAAAUUCGGAUUAAUACUCCAUGUAUCAAUUAAUUCGCAUGAAUUCUUUGAUAAAGUUUUCAACGGUAUUUGAUGGGCAUGCGUCCCAUUAGCUAGUUGGUAAGGUAACGGCUUACCAAGGCGAUGAUGGGUACGGGGUCUUAAAGGAUGAUCCCGCACACUGGCACUGAGACACGGGCCAGACUCCUACGGGAGGCAGCAGUGAGGAAUAUUGGUCAAUGGGGGAAACCCUGAACCAGCCAUCCCGCGUGCAGGAAGACAGUUCUAGUAAUUGUAAACUGCUUUUAUUAAAGAAGAAUAAGUUUGACUUGUCAAAUGAUGACAGUAUUUAAUGAAUAAGCAUCGGCUAACUCCGUGCCAGCAGCCGCGGUAAUACGGAGGAUGCAAGCGUUAUCCGGAUUUAUUAGGUUUAAAGGGUGUGUAGGCGGGAUAAUAAGUCAGUGGUGAAAGUUUUCAGCUUAACUGGAAAAUUGCCAUUGAAACUGUUUUUCUUGAGUUUGGAUGAGGUAUGCGGAAUGUGUAAUGUAGCGGUGAAAUGCUUAGAUAUUACCCAGAACCCCUAUUGCGAGGGCAGCAUGCUAAUCCAUAACCGACGCUGAUGCACGAAAGCGUGGGGAUCAAACAGGAUUAGAUACCCUGGUAGUCCACGCCGUAAACUAUGAUUACUCGCUGUUGGCGAUACACAGUCAGUGGCUUAGCGAAAGCAUUAAGUAAUCCACCUGGGGAGUACGUUCGCAAGAAUGAAACUCAAAGGAAUUGACGGGGGCCCGCACAAGCGGAGGAACAUGUGGUUUAAUUCGAUGAUACGCGAGGAACCUUACCCGGGCUUAAAUGUAUAUUGCAUGAAGUGGAAACAUUUCUUUCCUUCGGGACUAUUUACAAGGUGCUGCAUGGUUGUCGUCAGCUCGUGCCGUGAGGUGUCGGGUUAAGUCCCAUAACGAGCGCAACCCCUGUUGUCAGUUGCCAGCAUGUAAUGAUGGGGACUCUGACAAGACUGCCGGUGUAAACCGCGAGGAAGGUGGGGAUGACGUCAAAUCAGCACGGCCCUUAUGUCCGGGGCGACACACGUGUUACAAUGGUCGGUACAGCGAGCAGCCACUUGGUGACAAGGAGCUAAUCUCAAAAGCCGAUCUUAGUUCGGAUCGGAGUCUGCAACUCGACUCCGUGAAGCCGGAUUCGCUAGUAAUCGCGCAUCAGACAUGGCGCGGUGAAUACGUUCCCGGGCCUUGCACACACCGCCCGUCAAG
rnacentral:rRNA from 1 species